AAAUUGAAGAGUUUGAUCAUGGCUCAGAUUGAACGCUGGCGGCAGGCCUAACACAUGCAAGUCGAGCGGUAGCACAGAGAGCUUGCUCUCGGGUGACGAGCGGCGGACGGGUGAGUAAUGUCUGGGAAACUGCCUGAUGGAGGGGGAUAACUACUGGAAACGGUAGCUAAUACCGCAUAACGUCGCAAGACCAAAGUGGGGGACCUUCGGGCCUCAUGCCAUCAGAUGUGCCCAGAUGGGAUUAGCUAGUAGGUGGGGUAAUGGCUCACCUAGGCGACGAUCCCUAGCUGGUCUGAGAGGAUGACCAGCCACACUGGAACUGAGACACGGUCCAGACUCCUACGGGAGGCAGCAGUGGGGAAUAUUGCACAAUGGGCGCAAGCCUGAUGCAGCCAUGCCGCGUGUGUGAAGAAGGCCUUCGGGUUGUAAAGCACUUUCAGCGGGGAGGAAGGCGAUAAGGUUAAUAACCUUGUCGAUUGACGUUACCCGCAGAAGAAGCACCGGCUAACUCCGUGCCAGCAGCCGCGGUAAUACGGAGGGUGCAAGCGUUAAUCGGAAUUACUGGGCGUAAAGCGCACGCAGGCGGUCUGUCAAGUCGGAUGUGAAAUCCCCGGGCUCAACCUGGGAACUGCAUUCGAAACUGGCAGGCUAGAGUCUUGUAGAGGGGGGUAGAAUUCCAGGUGUAGCGGUGAAAUGCGUAGAGAUCUGGAGGAAUACCGGUGGCGAAGGCGGCCCCCUGGACAAAGACUGACGCUCAGGUGCGAAAGCGUGGGGAGCAAACAGGAUUAGAUACCCUGGUAGUCCACGCCGUAAACGAUGUCGAUUUGGAGGUUGUGCCCUUGAGGCGUGGCUUCCGGAGCUAACGCGUUAAAUCGACCGCACGGGGAGUACGGCCGCAAGGUUAAAACUCAAAUGAAUUGACGGGGGCCCGCACAAGCGGUGGAGCAUGUGGUUUAAUUCGAUGCAACGCGAAGAACCUUACCUGGUCUUGACAUCCACAGAACUUUCCAGAGAUGGAUUGGUGCCUUCGGGAACUGUGAGACAGGUGCUGCAUGGCUGUCGUCAGCUCGUGUUGUGAAAUGUUGGGUUAAGUCCCGCAACGAGCGCAACCCUUAUCCUUUGUUGCCAGCGGUUAGGCCGGGAACUCAAAGGAGACUGCCAGUGAUAAACUGGAGGAAGGUGGGGAUGACGUCAAGUCAUCAUGGCCCUUACGACCGUGGCUACACACGUGCUACAAUGGCAUAUACAAAGAGAAGCGACCUCGCGAGAGCAAGCGGACCUCAUAAAGUAUGUCGUAGUCCGGAUUGGAGUCUGCAACUCGACUCCAUGAAGUCGGAAUCGCUAGUAAUCGUAGAUCAGAAUGCUACGGUGAAUACGUUCCCGGGCCUUGUACACACCGCCCGUCACACCAUGGGAGUGGGUUGCAAAAGAAGUAGGUAGCUUAACCUUCGGGAGGGCGCUUACCACUUUGUGAUUCAUGACUGGGGUGAAGUCGUAACAAGGUAACCGUAGGGGAACCUGCGGUUGGAUCACCUCCUUACCUUAAAGAA
rnacentral:rRNA from 1 species